rnacentral:lncRNA from 10 species
CUCAACCAAAAUUAUUAAACAUAGCAUCAGCAAUCGUGGGACAAACAGACGCAAACAUCUCCUGGUGUGAGGCGGCUGAAUAUUUGGAAACAAUGGAACAGAAUUCAAGGGGAAAGAAGACGACUUUACCAUGUGAACCCCUGUGGCUUCCUCAGAGACUGUCUGCUCUGGCACAUGCUCCUCCAGGUCUUCCAGGUCACCUAGGAAA